UACGUAGGUGGCGAGCGUUGUCCGGAUUUACUGGGCGUAAAGAGCUCGUAGGCGGUUUGUCGCGUCUGCCGUGAAAGUCCGGGGCUCAACUCCGGAUCUGCGGUGGGUACGGGCAGACUAGAGUGAUGUAGGGGAGACUGGAAUUCCUGGUGUAGCGGUGAAAUGCGCAGAUAUCAGGAGGAACACCGAUGGCGAAGGCAGGUCUCUGGGCAUUAACUGACGCUGAGAAGCGAAAGCGUGGGUAGCGAACAGG
rnacentral:rRNA from 1 species